rnacentral:lncRNA from 1 species
GCCUAAUCCUCUCCGCUUUUUGUGAACGUCCUAGCCAGAAUCGGAGCGGGACUCCGCCGCCGAGCGCCUAGGCGCCGCCGAGCGCCUAGGCGCCGCCGAGGCGGCCGCCUAGGACGAUUUUUAGAACACUGCCUGCAUAUGAUUCUAACAUGUCUCUAAAUAAAAAACAAAAAACAAAGUUCUAUCCCCAAUCUCACGUUCUCC